rnacentral:rRNA from 1 species
GAUGAACGCUGGCGGCGUGCCUAAUACAUGCAAGUCGAGCGAACGGACGAGAAGCUUGCUUCUCUGAUGUUAGCGGCGGACGGGUGAGUAACACGUGGAUAACCUACCUAUAAGACUGGGAUAACUUCGGGAAACCGGAGCUAAUACCGGAUGAUAUUUUGAACCGCAUGGUUCAAAAGUGAAAGACGGUCUUGCUGUCACUUAUAGAUGGAUCCGCGCUGCAUUAGCUAGUUGGUAAGGUAACGGCUUACCAAGGCAACGAUGCAUAGCCGACCUGAGAGGGUGAUCGGCCACACUGGAACUGAGACACGGUCCAGACUCCUACGGGAGGCAGCAGUAGGGAAUCUUCCGCAAGGGGCGAAAGCCUGACGGAGCAACGCCGCGUGAGUGAUGAAGGUCUUCGGAUCGUAAAACGCUGUUAUUAGGGAAGAACAUAUGUGUAAGUAACUGUGCACAUCUUGACGGUACCUAAUCAGAAAGCCACGGCUAACUACGUG